GCGUAGCUCAGUCGAUGGAGCAUGAGAUUCUUAGCCUCAGGGUCGUAGGUUUGAGCCCUGUGUUGGGCA